UAAGGAAUAUUGGUCAAUGGACGAGAGUCUGAACCAGCCAUGCCGCGUGAAGGAUGAAUGCCCUCUGGGUUGUAAACUUCUUUUAUAUGGGACGAAAAAAGACUUUUCUAAGUCGCCUGACGGUACCAUAUGAAUAAGCACCGGCUAACUCCGUGCCAGCAGCCGCGGUAAUACGGAGGGUGCAAGCGUUAUCCGGAUUCACUGGGUUUAAAGGGUGCGUAGGUGGGUUGGUAAGUCAGUGGUGAAAUCUCCGAGCUUAACUUGGAAACUGCCAUUGAUACUAUUAAUCUUGAAUAUUGUGGAGGUCAGCGGAAUAUGUCAUGUAGCGGUGAAAUGCUUAGAUAUGACAUAGAACACCAAUUGCGAAGGCAGCUGACUACGCAUAUAUUGACACUGAGGCACGAAAGCGUGGGGAUCAAACA
rnacentral:rRNA from 1 species